CCUCCAUGGCUCCAGAAAUCAAGGGUGGGUGAGACCUCGUAAGAAAACGUGAAGGCGACCCAUACUUGGUUUCAGGGGCUGUGAGGAU
rnacentral:pre_miRNA from 1 species